GAGGAAUGUAUAGCAAUAGCUACUUGCAUCAUUGUAGAUAUGAUGCAAGCUCGACUAUGUUGAAUAAAAUUCUAGGUAGAAUUAUGAUAAUGACAUUGUCUGCCUAUGUGUCUUGACCAAAUUACGUGCCAGCAGUCGCGGUAAUACGUAGAAGACUAGUGUUAUUCAUGUUUAAUCGGUUUAAAGGGUACCUAGACGGUAGAUCAAGCUUUCUAAUAAAUGAAAAGGACUAAUUUACUAGAGUUACUUAUGAGGGGGUAUUAAAGUACUGCUGGUGUAGAGAUGAAAUUCUGUCAUACCUCUUUUCAAAAGAAAAACCAUGGCACAGGUAUAGGCGAAGGCAUCCCCUUAUGUGAUAACUGACGUUGAGGGACGAAGGCUUUGUGUAGCGAACAGGAUUAGAUACCCUAGUAGUCGAAGCAGAAAAUGAUGAAUGUCAUAGAUUAGAUGUAUAAGUUUAUUCUAUAAAUGAAAGUGUAAGCAUUCCACCUCAUGAGUAAUUUGGCAACAUUGGAACUGAAAUCAUUAGACCGUUUCUGAAACCAG
rnacentral:rRNA from 1 species